rnacentral:rRNA from 1 species
CGUAGGGUCCUAGCGUUGUCCGGAUUUAUUGGGCGUAAAGAGCUCGUAGGCGGUUCGGCAAGUCGGAUGUGAAAUCUCCACGCUUAACGUGGAGGGGCCAUUCGAAACUGCCGUGACUUGAGUCCGGUAGGGGGGUGUGGAAUUCCCGGUGUAGCGGUGAAAUGCGCAGAUAUCGGGAGGAACACCAGUAGCGAAGGCGGCACCCUGGGCCGGUACUGACGCUGAGGAGCGAAAGCGUGGGGAGCAAACAGGAUUAGAUACCCUGGUAGUCCACGCCGUAAACGUUGGGCACUAGGUGUGGGACCCUAUCGACGGGUUCCGUGCCGUAGCUAACGCAUUAAGUGCCCCGCCUGGGGAGUACGGCCGCAAGGCUA